UUGGUCAAUGGACGCGAGUCUGAACCAGCCAAGUAGCGUGAAGGAUGACUGCCCUAUGGGUUNUAAACUUCUUUUAUAUGGGAAUNNCGNNNUNCACGUGUGGAAUUUUGUAUGUACCAUAUGAAUAAGGNNNGNCNAACUCCGUGCCAGCAGCCGCGGUAAUACGGAGGAUCCGAGCGUUAUCCGGAUUUAUUGGGUUUAAAGGGAGCGUAGGUGGACAGUGAAGUCAGUUGUGAAAGUUUGCGGCUCAACCGUACAAUUGCAGUUGAUACUGGCUGUCUUGAGUACAGUAGAAGUGGGCGGAAUUCGUGGUGUAGCGGUGAAAUGCUUAGAUAUCACGAAGAACUCCAAUUGCGAAGGCAGCUCACUGGACUGCAGCUGACACUGAUGCUCGAAAGUGUGGGUAUCAAACAG
rnacentral:rRNA from 1 species